ensembl:rRNA 5S_rRNA 5S ribosomal RNA
GUCUGUGGCCAUGCUACCCUGUACGUGCUCGAUGUCAUCUGGUCUCAGAAGCUAAGCAAGGUCAGACCUGGUUAGUACUUGGAUUAGAGAAGUUAGCUUUUGACAGAAU